rnacentral:lncRNA from 1 species
UCCAUCCCACAUCUGUGAGGAGAGGAGCUCGUGGUGCCUGUGGCAGGCUUUGCCUUGUGCUGGGUUCUGUCUCCUCGGGUCAGGCUGCAGCUCAGUCCCUGGUGCCCCCAGCCAUGGGACCCCCAGGGGCACUUGUGGCACUGAGCUUGGCUGUGUGUUGUGCAGUCUGGUCACUGCAGGCCUGAAGGACAUAUUCCAAAAUGAGCCAAAACACCCUCUCCUGAACAGAAAUACACCAGAGCUGGUUCAGCUUGGGGAACAGAAGUUGAAGGAGCUGUGGCACAGGGUGCUCACAAGUGUGAGGUGUAGAUGCUUUCUGGGAAGAUGAGGGUUGAGCCCUUUGGCUGUGAGUGGUCGGGUUCGAAUUCAGCCUCUGGGCUCACAUCUCAGAAAGCCUUAAUUCAGUUCUCAUUUUUCCAGGGAUGGGGAAACUCAACACUGUCAAUCUCCUCUUUGCUCUUCAGACAGCAGCAGACACUUGAAUGAAGACUCCUCGUGUUUACAGCCUGGUCACACGAGCGACUGAGACCUGAAAUCUCCCUGACAUCCUCUCUGGAUGCUUGGCCUAGGAACAGCGUCAUUCCUACCACACCUGCUCCCUUCCGCUCAUGGAGCCUUCUAUGCUGCACUGGACACUGGAAAAGCUCUUGGAGAUGGCUGGAAAAGGAUGGGACGUCCUGGAAAAUGGUCUCUAAACCAGCCCUUCCCUGUGCCGUGGCUUUUCUGAGGCUCGUUAAUAUCAGUGGUUCCUGCUGGAGGAACUCUGUCACCUUCCCCAAGGCAGCAGAUCUGAGGCCAGACGUGGUGUGCGCUGCUUGUGCAUCAGACACGAGUAAUAACAAGUUUCGAG